AUUGAACGCUGGCGGCGUGCCUAAUACAUGCAAGUCGAACGCAGUGGGGACGGGUGAGUAACACGUGGGUAACCUCCCAUCAGAGGGGAUAACACUUGGAAACAGGUGCUAAACCGAUACUGAUGGAUGGACCCGGUGUGCAUUAGCUAGUUGGUGAGGUAACGGCCUACCAAGGCCACGAUUGAUAGCCGGCCUGAGAGGGUGGUCGGCCACACUGGGACUGAGACACGGCCCAGACUCCUACGGGAGGCAGAAGUAGGGAAUCUUGGGCAAUGGACGAAAGUCUGACCGAGCAACGCCGCGUGAGUGAAGAAGGUUUUCGGAUCGUAAAGCUCUGUUGUUAGAGAAGCGGUAUCUAACCAGAAAGCCACGGCUAACUACGUGCCAGCAGCCGCGGUAAUUC
rnacentral:rRNA from 1 species